CAAGAGUUGGAUGCUCAACUGACUAAGCCACCCCGGAGCUCCGAAAUGGUUGUUUUUAAAUAAUUUUCACCAGUUUCACUGAGGGCACAGCAUGAUACUCUCCAGUUCCAUCCAUGUCAUUGCAAACGGACCAUCCAGAAGACCUGAAGUCAUCCUACUCCUGUGAGACUGUAGAAGACCUUAAAUAUACAUUCAGAGGGCACCUGGAUGGCUCAGUCGGUUAAGCCUCUUUAAAGCUCUUCCUGACCUCUCUUCAGGGAGCUAGCCUGAAGACUCUUUCCUUUGUGCUUUCUUCCUUGUGCUAUAGCAUAAGCCCAAAUAAAGCCUUGCUUGGAACUUC